UUGACUCUCCUGCCCUCCUGCUCCUAGGGCUCUGAGCUCCAUCCUGGAGACCUGGCUUCUCCAGUACCCAGGAGACUUUUGUCAGUGCCCAGACAUGGCCAACCUCAAGCAGCUCGUGGCCUACGCACUCCUGAACCUUCCAGACUCGGACAUCAUCCUGCACUUGUGCACAUUCUCGGCCCAAUUCAGAGUCCGCUAAGAGGGAUCCCAUCCCAGAGCCAUAUUACAUUUGUCAUCUGACACCAAGAUUUGGCCAAGGAAAUGCAAAUGCAAGAUUCUGUGAUCAUGGAAAGGUAUGUAUCUCCAGUUUGCAACAGUUGUAUACGUUUUUGAAAAUGCCCUAGAUUGUACUGUUAUUGGAUU
rnacentral:lncRNA from 1 species